CCUACGGGAGGCAGCAGUAGGGAAUUUUCGUCAAUGGGCGCAAGCCUGAACGAGCAAUGCCGCGUGAACGAGGAAGGUCUUCGGAUCGUAAAGUUCUGUUGAAGGGGAAAAGAGCGGAGAGAGGCAAUGCUUUCUGAUUGAUAUUCCCCUUCGAGGACGUCACGGCUAACUACGUGCCAGCAGCCGCGGUAAUAGGUAGGUGGCGAGCGUUAUCCGGAAUGAUGGGGCGAAAGGGGUGCGUGGGCGGCCUUCUAAGUCUGGAGUGAAAGGUACGGGCUCAACCGGUACAGGCUCUGGAAACUGGAGGGCUAGAGAGCAGGAGAGGGAGGUGGAACUCCAGGUGGAGCGGUAAAAUGCGUAGAUAUAUGGAAGAACACCAGUGGCGAAGGCGGCCGACUGGGCUGUGACUGACGCUGAGGCACGAAAGCGUGGGGAGCAAAUAGGAUUAGAUACCCCUGUAGUC
rnacentral:rRNA from 1 species